CUUAUUCCCUGGGCCUGGUAGCCACAACUUCCUUUCCAAGCUCAGACUGACACUUCAGGGAAUGCAUAGCAUUGGUUGUUCUGAACGUUGGUCCCUGCCAUUAAGUAAGAGAAUUGCUUAAAAUGGCUUGACCACCACUCUGGUUGAGGAGGAGCACCCAGAAGAACAUAAAAGCUCUUUGUGUUGUUGUUGUUGUUGUUUUGGAGAAUAGCUCUCAUUCAUUAGCCAGCUUGAAGCAAGGGGCUUCAUUGGUCUUUACUGACAAUCUUGAACCUUUGCAUCCUACUGAAAAAUAGCUGUGUUUUUGGUUGGCUGAGUUUUGCCUAGGGAUUGACAGGAACAGCCCCAGGAGAGCUGGUGGGCAGAUUGCAGUGAGCCUGGGUUCUAGACCUUACCUGUUAGUCUUCCACACACCCACGCUCCUAACUGCCCUGCAGUGACUUGCAUGAGGCUGAUUUCCUCCUUUGCUUCUUUGCAUCUUGGGAUGGUUAAGUUUUAUUACCCACCGGAUUUUGACAACUUCUAGUCCUUGAACGGGGGCAGGAGGUAUACUCAGAGGAGAAGGAAGCUCCAGGAUCAGCACUGGGUUCCCUGAGGAGCCGUCUGAAGCAAGCACGGACAGGACCCACGUGUCUGUUACCGGCGAUGGUGAAGAACUCACAGCCAGAACCAGAGCCGUUGACUCACAGCCCCAUGGUGGAACUCUGAUCCUUCCACAAGAGCGCCCUGCCUGAUCCUCCGGCUCUGGGUCUUUCCGUGGAGGAAAGCGGUGGUGACCAGGGGAUGAUGGGCCCCUCCCAGGAGUUGACGACAUUCGGUGAUGUGGCUAUGUAUAUCUCCCAGGAGGCACGGAGGCAGCCAGAACCUGGGGGGAGGAAACACGUGGAAAGAAGUUGGGAGAAAUCUGCAAAUGGGGCCUCGAUGGUGCCAGCUCCUGCAGGGAGCAGGAGAAAACCCCACAGAACCCAGAUCUUCAGCGCCCCAGAGAGGCGGAGAGCGCCAGGGACUCCGCAGCAGGUGGGGGAAGAGUCCAGCCUGGCCACUUGCCCGUCCCAAGAAAAGCCAAGACCUGGGAGGAGCUGGAGUGGCAGGGCCUGGAGGAUGAGAAGGCGGCAGCGGUGCACUAGGGCUUUGAGGAAACUAAGAUUUUUGGGGGGAAUUCUCAGUGAGUUCUGGAUCCGUGAGAAAUUGCGCACCUGCCACCGAGCCGCCAGGUGUACCGGCUGGUGGCUGAUCGGCUGCGCGAGAGCAGCUUCCCGCGGACCCUGGAACAGUGUUGCGACUGCUUCAGAAACCUCCAGACCCACUACCGCAGAGCCAGGAGCAGCCGGGCGCCGGGCACCUGCCCCUUCUACCAGGAGAUGGACGCCCUGAUGGGCCCCUGGACCCUUGCCGGCACCUUUGAUGCCUUAGAGGUGGCAGGAGGCCUUCUGCGGGACAGAGGGGACUCCGAAGAGAACCAGAGGCUGUGCUGGCAGCUGUGACAGGAGAUGGUAGCGAACUGGUGGCUGAGCCCCAAGAGGAGCCCGGGAGCCUCGGCCCCCCGGCUUUCGGGGGGAGUUCCGGUGGUAAGCGCCCCACCCCCAGUGCCCCCCAGAGCAGUGGGAGAGGGCAAGUCUCGCAGGAAAGCAUUAGGGACUGUGAAGCAGGAGAGACGCUUAUUGUCUGGCCCUCUGGUGUGGCCUCGUCUGGAGGAAAAUUGUUGAGUCCUUUACGGAACACAGAUACCACUAGAAUCAGCCCUCCGCUGAAGCCGUCCCACGGGCUCACUCACAAAGACUCCUGGGAGGGUCUUGCCCUGCUCUACAGCAAAGGGCUCUCCCUGUCUGCUCUUAGUAAUGGCAUUAUAGAAACAAUAUUUAGUGACAGUUGUAGGAGGAAAGAGAGGUUGGAGUGACUUCCAGUUCCAGUUGUUCAUUUCCAGCUAAAGUACCCCAUCCGUGUGAACUCUGCGCAGAUUAUAGACAGCAGCCUGCCAACUUAAGACUUGUCUGUUCUUGCGCAAACUGGUUACACACCCUAAGCCUCCGCCUUCUCAUCUGUAAGAUGGACAUAAUGACAGUAUUUGCCUCACUGGGUGGUUUCGGGGAUCCUGGCCCGUGGCUAGCACUCAGGAAAUGCUUGUUUUCAUUAUCGUGAGCAUUGUAAUUAUUGUUAACAUAGAGGAAAACCUUGCCCUGCACUCUUCACUUAAGGGGGCAUAUUUCCUGAGUCAUUAACUACACGUUUUCUUCUGAAAACUAGACUUUCUGGGAGGUGCUUCUGUGCUCAUCUCAGCUACCACUUCCCGAAAGGAGAACAGAAAGCAGACUAUGUAGGAACUCCAUGUCCCUUCUUGCUUUUCCUUGAGCAGGACUUCUGGUUCCCCAGCCAGAUGGGGUCUCGAGGUUGGAGAGAAGUGAAGAGCUUUGGAAUGACGAUCUCUGGGACUUUUGGGAAACUUCCUGUUCAGGUGGGAAAUGAGUGAAAGCUAGUAUGGCGCCAACCGAGAAGUCAGACCCAGAAUUCUGAACGCGGACAAGGCAGCACCAGGCUGGGAGAGCACCCACUCCCUGGGCCUUCCCGGCUUAUUACUCUGAGGUGCUGAAACCACAGGCGGUGGGAGAAGAACAGUAAAGGAGGUGGCACCAGGAAAGCCUGCCUCCCUUCGUUACCUUGGCUCAUAGAUGUAAACAGAUUAUUAGUGUUUAUGAUGUCCCUCUUAAAUUUCUUUUUAAAAAAUGCCCCCUUUAUUUUUUCAAGUAUACUCUACCUGCAGUGUGGGUCUCGAACUCAUGACUAAGAUCAAGAGUUACACACUCUACUGACCGAGCCAGCCUCGUGCCCCUCCCACUUAAAUUUCUAUCUGACUUUUAACUAUAAUUAACUGUCGCUUAAGUAGGUUAAUAGAAAAAGUGAGCCUUGGCAACUCCAAAUUAAACAAUACUCAACCUUAGAUUAUUGGAGGGGUGAAUUUCUCAUGGUUAAGAUGAGCUUCCCUCCUUGGUGACGCUCGGUCAUUCUGCUGGAAUUUUAGGGGAUCCAAUAAACAGUACUGUUCUUCCCCCAGAUUCUAGACCAACCAAGAACCGUAAGAGUAAGACAUUGAGAUCAAAAUGGCAGCUUUCUAACUGCGAGAGCCAUUGGACAAUGUGGCUUGAUGUGUAGCCACAGUGGGCUUCCUCACGCUGAACCCCACAUUGAGACGCAGGGCAGCCCCAGACGACCACAGCCUUGCCCUGCCGGCACAGAACUGUCACUGCUGGUCUUCUGAGCCACGUGUGCCCAGCUCCUUGUUAGUCGAAGUCCUCCCUCCUGCUUGAGGAGCGAGGGGAUGGAGAGAGGCCAGAAGUGUUCUCAGGCUUGUCCCUCUACCUGGAAGGCAGUAUCAAGAAGAAAAAGGUAGCUUUUUAGUACUGAUUGCCAGCCCACAGGUGGGUGGGAGGAGAGGAGCCAAGCUCGGGGGCAGAGCCUCUGAGGAGUGGGGAGAGGAAGAAAUGGGUCUGGACCUUGCCCACUGGACCUUCCCUUUCUUCAGCCUUCUUCCACACGACCUUCUUGUUUAGAAGCUGGGGGAGGGAAGGAGAUCUGCAAGUCUGCUGUCUUAACCAGGGUUCAGCCAUAGUCCAAUUCUUGGUUCCUGGUUAAUGGAAAGCUGACUGUGUUCUAUCUGUCGUCAUCAAGAAAUUGUUUCUCAGCGUCCAGGAGGGGACUCUUUCACGUUGUUUGCGUUCUUCUGAGCUCAGAAAGCAGGUCACAUUUGCAGUUUCAUCUCAUUCUUUCAGAUCUUGAAACAAGGACACAGGACA
ensembl:lncRNA